rnacentral:tRNA from 2 species
GACCCGUUAGUCAAGCGGUUAAGACACUGCCCUUUCACGGCAGCGACAUGGGUUCAAAUCCCGUACGGGUCA